AGAGUUUGAUCCUGGCUCAGGACGAACGCUGGCGGCGUGCCUAACACAUGCAAGUCGAACGGAACUGUUUUGAAAGAUUUCUUCGGAAUGAAUUUGAUUUAGUUUAGUGGCGGACGGGUGAGUAACGCGUGAGUAACCUGCCUUCAAGAGGGGGAUAACAUUCUGAAAAGAAUGCUAAUACCGCAUGACAUAUCGGGAUCACAUGAUUUUGAUAUCAAAGAUUUUAUCGCUUGAAGAUGGACUCGCGUCCGAUUAGUUAGUUGGUGAGGUAACGGCUCACCAAGACCGCGAUCGGUAGCCGGACUGAGAGGUUGAACGGCCACAUUGGGACUGAGACACGGCCCAGACUCCUACGGGAGGCAGCAGUGGGGGAUAUUGCGCAAUGGGGGCAACCCUGACGCAGCAACGCCGCGUGAAGGAUGAAGGUUUUCGGAUUGUAAACUUCUUUUAUUAAGGACGAAAAAUGACGGUACUUAAUGAAUAAGCUCCGGCUAACUACGUGCCAGCAGCCGCGGUAAUACGUAGGGAGCAAGCGUUGUCCGGAUUUACUGGGUGUAAAGGGUGCGUAGGCGGCUUUGCAAGUCAGAUGUGAAAUCUAUGGGCUCAACCCAUAAACUGCAUUUGAAACUGUAGAGCUUGAGUGAAGUAGAGGCAGGCGGAAUUCCCCGUGUAGCGGUGAAAUGCGUAGAGAUGGGGAGGAACACCAGUGGCGAAGGCGGCCUGCUGGGCUUUAACUGACGCUGAGGCACGAAAGCGUGGGUAGCAAACAGGAUUAGAUACCCUGGUAGUCCACGCUGUAAACGAUGAUUACUAGGUGUGGGGGGUCUGACCCCUUCCGUGCCGGAGUUAACACAAUAAGUAAUCCACCUGGGGAGUACGG
rnacentral:rRNA from 1 species